AUGGAACGCUGGCGGCAUGCCUAACACAUGCAAGUCGAGCGGAGGAAGCGAGCUUGCUCCUGGAUUCAGCGGCGGACGGUUGAGUAAUGCCUAGGAAUCUGCCUGGUAGUGGGGGAUAACGUCCGGAAACGGGCGCUACUACCGCAUACGGCCUGAGGGAGAACGGAGGGGAUCUUCGGACCUCACGCUAUCAGCUGAACCUAGGUGGGAGUAGCUAGUUGGUGGGGUAAAGGCCUAGCAGGGCGACGAUCCGUAACCGUCUGAGAGGAUGAUCAGUCAGACUGGAACGGAGACACGGUCCAGAGUCCUACGGGAGGCAGCAGUGGGGAAUAUUGGACAAUGGGCGAAAGCCUGAUCCAGCCAUGCCGAGUGUGUGAAGAAGGUCUUCGGAUUGUAAAGCACUUUAAGUUGGGAGGAAGGGCAGUAAGUUAAUACCUUGCUGUCUUGACGUUACCAACAGAAUAAGCACCGGCUAACUUCGUG
rnacentral:rRNA from 1 species